UUAACUUAUUUGUUUUAAAAUUCAGAGUUCCAAAAUAAAAACAGAGUUUAAGGGGCCUUCGGCAGCCGAGGCCACCGAGGCAACAGAAGGUAUGUUCACAUGGGUUGGGAGUUGUUAUACUCUCUAAUGAUCCCUCCGCUGGUUCACCAACGGAGA
rnacentral:misc_RNA from 1 species